CGACCGGCAAACGGGUGCGGAACACGUACGCAACCUUCCUUUAAGCGGGGAAUAGCCCAGGGAAACUUGGAUUAAUACCCCAUAAGACAGUGGUGUGGCAUCACACAGCUGUUAAAGCUCCGGCACUUAAAGAUGGGCGUGCGGCUGAUUAGGUAGUUGGCGGGGUAAUGGCCCACCAAGCCGACGAUCAGUAACUGGUGUGAGAGCACGACCAGUCACACGGGCACUGAGACACGGGCCCG
rnacentral:rRNA from 1 species